rnacentral:rRNA from 1 species
GACGAACGCUGGCGGCGUGCUUAACACAUGCAAGUCGAGCGGAGCGGCGAACGGGUGAGUAACGCGUGAGUAACUGCCCCCCUCCCUGGGAUAACAGUUGGAAACGGCUGCUAAUACCGGAUCGUGGGGGAUGACUCGCGUCCUAUCAGCUUGUUGGUUGGGUAGGGGCCUACCAAGGGGCCGACGGGUAGCCGGCCUGAGAGGGCGACCGGCCACAUUGGGCUGGGAGACGACGCGAGCUCGUACGGGGGGCAGCAGUGGGGAGUAUUACACAAUGAGGGAAACCCUGAGGCAGCAGCGCGCGUGCGGGAUGACGGACUUCGGGUUGUAAACCGCUUUCAGCCAUGACGCGGUAGUGGCAGAAGAAGCACCGGCUAACUACGUGCCAGCAGCCGCGGUAAUUC